GACCAGACUCCUACGGGAGGCAGCAGUGAGGAAUAUUGGACAAUGGGCGCAAGCCUGAUCCAGCCAUGCCGCGUGCAGGAAGACGGUCCUAUGGAUUGUAAACUGCUUUUAUACAGGAAGAAACACUCCCUCGUGAGGGAGCUUGACGGUACUGUAGGAAUAAGGAUCGGCUAACUCCGUGCCAGCAGCCGCGGUAAUACGGAGGAUCCAAGCGUUAUCCGGAAUCAUUGGGUUUAAAGGGUCCGUAGGCGGCCUUAUAAGUCAGUGGUGAAAUCUCCUAGCUCAACUAGGAAACUGCCAUUGAAACUGUAGGGCUUGAAUUAUUAGGAAGUAACUAGAAUAUGUAGUGUAGCGGUGAAAUGCUUAGAUAUUACAUGGAAUACCAAUUGCGAAGGCAGGUUACUACUAAUGGAUUGACGCUGAUGGACGAAAGCGUGGGUAGCGAACAGGAUUAGAUACCCUGGUAGUCCACGCCGUAAACGAUGGAUACUAGCUGUUCGGAGCAAUCUGAGUGGCUAAGCGAAAGUGAUAAGUAUCCCACCUGGGGAGUACGUUCGCAAGAAUGAAACUCAAAGGAAUUGACGGGGGCCCGCACAAGCGGUGGAGCAUGUGGUUUAAUUCGAUGAUACGCGAGGAACCUUACCAAGGCUUAAAUGUAGAUUGACCGGUUUGGAAACAGACUUUUCGCAAGACAAUUUACAAGGUGCUGCAUGGCUGUCGUCAGCUCGUG
rnacentral:rRNA from 1 species